UUGUCCUGCCCUAUGCUUUCUUCGCACCCCUGUGCUCAGUUUUGGCAGGGGAGGUUUGCCGGGACACAGCAGUUUCCCUCUCAGUUUAGAAGGGCCAUCCUGGGUACAGGGCUGGCUCUUAAGGGCACAAAAGGACAAU